UACGUAGGGUGCAAGCGUUAAUCGGAAUUACUGGGCGUAAAGCGUGCGCAGGCGGUGAUGUAAGACAGUUGUGAAAUCCCCGGGCUCAACCUGGGAACUGCAUUUGUGACUGCAUGGCUAGAGUUUGGCAGAGGGGGGUAGAAUUCCACGUGUAGCAGUGAAAUGCGUAGAUAUGUGGAGGAACACCGAUGGCGAAGGCAGCCCCCUGGGUCAAGACUGACGCUCAUGCACGAAAGCGUGGGGAGCAAACAGG
rnacentral:rRNA from 1 species